UGCAGCUGCUCAGUGGAAUGUCAUAUGUAAACACUGUCUGAUGGCCUGAGCGAGGGUAUUACAUAAUAACCCUGCUCAUGGCUCUGUGGUUGAAGUAGGGGAUUAUCUAUACUCCUCAGUGGUCAUAAAAUUUGGUUUACAGACAGAUGAAGUUAUCCAAUGAAAGCUCUCUGAAAUUUUGGGUGGGUGGGACUUAUUUUGACCGUGGGAACAAGAUUUCCAAAGAAGAAGCAGACUCUGAAAUGGCUCGCUUCGCUCGCCCUUUCAGGCUGGUUUGCUUCGCAAACCAGCUGCAGAUCCCACUUCACGAGCCAUUCAGAGUCUGCAUAGCAGACUACAUUCCAACUAACCCCAAUCUCCCCUACAUGAACAAUCAAAGUAAAUCAUUAUAUAAUAAUAUAGGAUUUGUAUAGCGCACGUAUCCACCUUGCUAGGUGCUCAAGGCGCUAUAAUAUUACCCUGGCAAAGCUAGUCUACCGAUUCCGGUGCGCACAGCUUUUUAAGGAAUUACUUCCUGACGGUACCCAUUUACCUUACCUGGGUUGAGUGCAGCACAAUGUGGGUGAAUUUCUUGCUGAAGGAAAACAUGCCAUGGCUUGGAAUCGAACCCACGUCCUUCAGAUUGAAAGACGAGAGUCUUCACAAUGAUUCAACAAUUUAAAAUUUUAAUUUGAAAACUUGCCAUUCCUUUAUUAUUUGUCUUGAUGUUGUACAUGUACAUCAGGAAAGUCAACUUGGAUUAAAAAUUUAAGAUUUCACUAAAUACCAGUCAUGUGUAUAUCUUGAAAGUUUGGAGAAAGCCAAUUAUUUUUCUCUAUUCCUAAUGGAUGAUUAUAAUUUGAAUUUUAAUGAUUAAAAAUCUUUACUGUUUUUUGUUAUUUGCAAUCCAUUAGAAAAUAAUUAAGAAAAUUUGUUGUGUUAUUUUAUGGGUAAAACAGCUUUUGACAGGUAUAUGACUUAACACUCACUGAUUAGUAUUGUGAUAUUUGCUCACAAGUGACAUCAUACUUAUAUACCAUGAAUUAACUCUGUUUAUUCAGGGGGCCUUUUCAUAAACCUGUUCGUAAGUUAAGAAUGACUGGUGAUCCUUUCUUACGCGCCAAACCAUAGCCAAUGAAUCUACCAUUUUCAACAAGAAAGGAUCACCAGUCGUUCUUAAAGUCGCUCUUAACUUUCGAACAGCUUUAUGAAGCGGCCCCCUGAUGAUAACACAAGUCGAUGCAAGGCUUUUUUUUGGGGGGGGGGGGUGGGAUCAACCUUGCGCUCUCACCAACUCUCAUCAUGACAUCCAUAGUAGAGAUGAUUUGAUCAUCUUUUUUUACAUGAAGUGACAUGAUGAUCUUAUUAUCUGCACAUCUGAAUUACACAAUUCAAGCUUCCACAGGCCUACUUUUUAAGAUUGAAGGGUCAGUAAUGCUUCAUGUUUACACCUUUUUAUACGCCCGUCUCGGCAGGACGUAUUAUGGUAUCACGCUCGGUGUCCGUCCGUCCUUUAACUUUUCCUUGUAAACGCGAUAACUUCAGUUUAACUUACUCUAGGCUCAUAUAAUUUGGUGUGUAUGAUGCUAGCAUGGAUCCCAGGAAGCCUAUUGAUUUUGAGGUCAAAGGUCAAGGUCACAGUGACAUAUUUUCAUCUUACCCUUCUGCAGUCCUUGUAAACGCGAUAACUUCAGUUUAACUUAACAUAGGCUCAUAUAAUUUGGUGUGUAUGAUACUAGCAUACUAUGAUACUAGCAUGGAUCCCAGGAAGCCUAUCGAUUUUGAGGUCAAAGGGUCAAAGGUCAAGGUCACAUUGACAUAUUUUCAUCUUACCCUUCUGCAGUCCUUGUAAAUGCGAUAACUUUAGUUUAACUUAACCUAGGCUCAUAUGAUUUGGUGUGUAUGAUACUAGCAUGGAUCCCAGGAAGCCUAUUGAUUUUGAGGUCAGAAGGUCAAGGUCACACUGACAUGUUUUCAUCUUGCCCUUCUGCAGUCCUUGUAAACAUGAUAACUUCAGUUUAACUUAACCUAUAGGCUCAUAUGAUUUGGUGUGUGUGAUACUAGCAUGGAUCUCAGGAAGCCUAUUGAUUUUGAGGUCAGAAGGUCAAGGUCACACUGACAUGUUUUCAUAUUGCCCUUCUGCAGUCCUUGUAAACAUAACUUCAGUUUAAAAAAAUUUUGUGCAGUAAUUAUACAUUUAAUUGGAAUCGCUUCCAGAUAUAUUUUCAACGCUUCUAUGAAAUUUGAAUAUGAAAAAUCUCCAAGUUAGGCUUUUUAAAGUGGUUACUGAUAUUUAAUAUCAAAGUGAGUAAACUUGGUGAAAUUUGACCGUGCCCCAGAUUUAAUUGUUGUAUGUACAUGUGGUAGAAAGUCAAAUCAAACUUGAAUAAAUCUGAUUAGAUGAGGCUGUUGAAA